rnacentral:misc_RNA from 1 species
GAAAAAAGUUAAAAGAGGAAUGAAGAAUCAACCAGAUUCAGUCACAAAACACAAGGAUAAAAAGUCCAUCACUUAACAUAUUGAGGUUAACGUGGGAGAAAAUUCUCAGUGCAUCACAGUAAAAGGCAAAUGAUACUGGAAGCUUUCUUUGGUCUCAACAAAAGAUGCAAUGCACAUAAAGUCCAUUCCACCCUCUUCAAGCUUAAACAACGAAAGCAAGAAUACGUUUCCUUCUACUCCCCAAUUCAUUCACUUCUACAGCCCACUGCCUAGAAAGUGUGAAAAAAAAAUGGUUCAUGCCCAAGACAGUAACUUUAACUAAAAUUUCACACCAAAUCCAUUGAUUAACCUUUUUUCUUCUUCUCUCCAGUAGAGCCUAAUCCAAUACCACCCCGUAAAUUUCUUGAACUAUCCAGCUGACCGAAGAUCGCCGUAGAAUU